rnacentral:rRNA from 1 species
UACGGGGGGUGCAAGCGUUGUUCGGAAUUAUUGGGCGUAAAGAGCUUGUAGGCGGUUUGUCGCGUCUGCUGUGAAAUUUCGGGGCUCAACCCCGAACUUGCAGUGGGUACGGGCAGACUAGAGUGUGGUAGGGGAGACUGGAAUUCCUGGUGUAGCGGUGAAAUGCGCAGAUAUCAGGAGGAACACCGAUGGCGAAGGCAGGUCUCUGGGCCACUACUGACGCUGAGAAGCGAAAGCAUGGGGAGCGAACAGG